rnacentral:lncRNA from 1 species
AAGCUACUUUGCUUUGGGAGUGCUGUCUGGCCAGACUAAUAAAGGUCUGUUUUACUUUCCAACUUGUCCGGUGUGUUCCUUCCCGGGUGUUCUUCGCUGCAGUCAGCUCCUCAGAGCGUUUGGUAAGGCCCUCGGUCUUACAACUUGAGUGAGAAAGAAGCUUAGGGAAAAAACCCAGAGAAGAGAAAACACUGAGAGGUGAGAGGAACAAGGGAGAUGGUGGAGAAGGACCAACAUGCACAGCAACACAACUGGAACAGGAGAGCUGAGGGCCAGAGGGGCAGGAGUUGGCCGCUGCAGUCCGGUGACAAGAACAGUGAAAGGGCACUGUAUGUGGAAGGGCUCCACAUCGACCUCCCUCACGAUGUCCUAAGAUACCACGCUUCAUCCCCGGCCAAGGUGGAGUUCAGCCCCUCACCACAGCCUCAGAUCACAGACUGCACUUCCUGGUCAGACUGACCACCUAUGCUUCCCCCUGGGCCUUGGCCCAGCAGCUGAAAUGCCACUUCUGCUGAGAGCCUUUCACAGCUACUCCAUCCAGCAGCUGUCUGGGACCAUCCGUGUUUUCACUUCACUCACUCAUUUUCAGAGCACUUCUCACCACUGGUAAUGAUCAUUUAAUUGGCUUGUGCAUUAGAAUGAGGGUGACAAUGGUCCCGAUUCAGCAGUCUCCUCAAGUUGUUGAGCAUUAACUGAGGCAAUAGUGUGUGCACGCUACUGAAACAGUGCCUGGCUGCUAUCUUGGACCAAGUAAGAGCAGUGUUAUUAGAAGGGAGACUGGCAAAGUGGUCUGUAGGACUGGGCCCCCUAACAAAACAGAUUUAUGCUCUAAGGGGAGAAGGUGAACAUGCUCUUGGGUGCUGUACCAGCUGUCUUUGCUUCAGUCUGCAAACCAUGUAACAUGCUGCUGCAAUCCUGUGGUUAGAGAUUUUCCUCCCAAGUGUCAUUAAGCUAAAACUGAAGUUAAUCUCUCAUUCUCAUUUUAUAUGUAUGCAUGAACUAAAUCUAUAGGGUUGUUAUUUACCACAAAUCACACAGCCAGAAGUAGAGAGCCUCAGUUGGGUCUCAGUCUUUCUAGGUGGUGGUUAGGGAAGGAGGAGACACUCCUGGUGGAGCCUGCUUCCCUGAUGGGCACUAACAUGAGCUGACGGUGUGUUCUUGGGAGAGCCCAGAGCUUGCUCUACAGAUGAUCUGGGGCGAAGACAACAAGCAGCAGUGGUGAAUCCAGAUACUACGCCCUCUGUUCUUCAAGACUGCUGAGCUGUAUUUCUG